rnacentral:rRNA from 1 species
AACGAACGUUGGCGGCGUGGAUUAGGCAUGCAAGUCGAACGAAUCCCACUUGGGUAACUGGGUGGGGGAAGUGGCGAAAGGGGCAGUAAGGCGUGGGCAACCUACCCCGGGGACGGGCAUAGCCGUCCUAACGGACGGGUAAUACCCGGCGAUCCGGCGAGGGGGCAUCUCCUUGUCGGGAAAUGAGUUUCGCCUCGGGAGGGGCUCACGUAGUAUUAGCUUGUUGGCGGGGUGACGGCCCACCAAGGCGAAGAUGCUUAGCGGGUGUGAGAGCACG